AAGUCGUAACAAGGUAACCGUAGGUGAACCUGCGGUUGGAUCAUUAAAAAAAGGUUUAGCUUGCAGUUUGUGGGUGAAAAGUCUAGAACUAUCACAUACCCUUACUGUAAACUUUCCUAUCACCUUUGUGCAAACUUUAUUGUUUUUUGGGUAAGACUUUUGUUUUGCCCUACCAUUUUUUAACACCAUUUAAUUUGACUGAAAUUAUUUUAUAAAUAAUAACAACUUUUGACAACGGAUCUCUUGGCUCUC
rnacentral:misc_RNA from 1 species